UACGGAGGGGGCUAGCGUUGUUCGGAAUUACUGGGCGUAAAGCGUACGUAGGCGGCUUUGUAAGUUAGAGGUGAAAGCCCGGGGCUCAACCCCGGAGUUGCCUUUAAGACUGCAUCGCUUGAACGUCGGAGAGGUGAGUGGAAUUCCGAGUGUAGAGGUGAAAUUCGUAGAUAUUCGGAAGAACACCAGUGGCGAAGGCGGCUCACUGGACGACUGUUGACGCUGAGGUACGAAAGCGUGGGGAGCAAACAGG
rnacentral:rRNA from 1 species